rnacentral:lncRNA from 10 species
CGCUCCUCCCCGGAGCGUAUGGCAGCGCAGCGCCGGACGGGGCGUUCUCCCUCCCCCCCUCCUCUCGCUUCCAUCUCCGCCGUCUCCUCGGUCUCCCUUCCCAUCCCGGCCCCUCCUCCGCCAGCCGCGUCCUCCCGGGCUUGGUGAGGAACUGUUCCUGGAGGAGCCGCGGGACGCCAAAACCAGCCAAUGGGAAGCGGCGAUUCGCGGAGAUUGGCACUGAUGAUGGGAAGGUCGGUGGGAAGGAGAGCGGCGGGGCUGGGCUGUCAAUCAAACAAUGAUAAGGAAACUAAACUGGAUUAAGUGCUAUCAUCUUGGAGGUGCAAAGGCAAACAAGGAGAAAGAAGUGAUUGAAGAGCACUUCAGAAAGCUUGGUACAUUCAAAUCAGCAGGGCUUGAUUACUCGCAUCCCAGGACACUUAAGGAAUUGGCAAAUAUAAUUGCAAGACCACCAGCCUUUAUUUUAGAAAAUGAAGGUUGGACAGAAGAAGGUCCUGACAAGUAAAAUCAGCAGAUGGAGUACCUGUUUUUUAAAAGAGGGAAAAGGACAGCUGUAGUAAUUAUAGACUAUUCAGUUUAUCUUGGAUACCUGGGAAGAUACAAGAGCAAAUCAUCAAACAAUCAAUUUGCAACCACCUAGAAGAGUACAAGCUACUGGGUCGUAAUCAACGUGAUUUUGUGAAGUGCAAAUUAUGCCACACCAAUUUAAUUUUAUCUAUGAUAGAGUGAUGAGCCUGGCAGAAGAGGGGAAAGCAAUAUCUACAACUGGACUUCAAUAAGGAAUAUUGAUCUCAGCGUUACUUUGACCAUUAAUGAAUUAUGAUGGCAAUAAGCAAAGAUUCGCACCUCUAGCCUCCGGGGAGCUUAAUCUUCUGCUACAACAUUUGCAUUUGGUGUCUCUCUACUGCUCAGGCUGGAGUGCAGUGGUGCGAUCAUAGCUCACUGCAGCCUCGACUUCCUGGGCUCAGGUGACCCUCUCGCCUGAAACCAUAUUCCCCCUCAAGUAGCUGAGACUACAGGUACGUACCACCACACCCAACUAAUUGUUAUUUUUUGUGGAGACGGGAUCUUGCUUUGUUGCCCAGGCUGGUCUUGAAUUCCUGGCCUCAUGCGACCCUCCCUCUGCCUCCCAAUGCACUGGGAGCCACCGUGCCCAGCCCUGUAUUUCUUUUACAAGUGAUGUUUUAGCAUAAUUCUGUGAAGCCCAGGGAACAGAUUCUGUAUGAUUUCAGUAAUGUGAUAGUUCAGACUUGCUUUGUUGUCCAGCAUACAUCAAUUUCAUAAAUGUUCCAAAUACACUUGAAAAGGAAAUGUUUUCUGUGGUUGUUGGUGGGAGUGUUCCUCUUGUCAAUUGUGUCAAGUUUAUUAACCUUGUUCAAGCCUUCUGUAUUGUUAAUGAUUUUCUUAUUUUUUGCUUGUUUUGAGUGUUUGCUUAUUCUAUCAUUUAUUGAGAGAGGGGUGUUAAAAUCUCUCACUGAAAGUAUGACUUCAUUUCUUUCUUCAGUUUUUGCUAUAAAUAUUUUGAGGCUAGGUUAUU